GAUGAACGCUGGCGGCGUGCCUAAUACAUGCAAGUCGAGCGAACAGACGAGGAGCUUGCUCCUCUGACGUUAGCGGCGGACGGGUGAGUAAAACGUGGAUAACCUACCUAUAAGACUGGGAUAACUUCGGGAAACCGGAGCUAAUACCGGAUAAUAUAUUGAACCGCAUGGUUCAAUAGUGAAAGACGGUUUUGCUGUCACUUAUAGAUGGAUCCGCGCCGCAUGAGCUAGUUGGUAAGGUAACGGCUUACCAAGGCAACGAUGCGUAGCCGACCUGAGAGGGUGAUCGGCCACACUGGAACUGAGCCACGGUCCAGACCCCCACGGGAGGCAGCAGUAGGGAAUCUUCCGCAAAGGGCGAAAGCCUGACGGAGCAACGCCGCGUGCGUGAUGAAGGUCUUCGGAUCGUAAGACUCUGUUAUUAGGGAAGAACAAAUGUGUAAGUAACUAUGCACGUCUUGACGGUACCUAAUCAGAAAGCCACGGCUAACUACGUG
rnacentral:rRNA from 1 species